rnacentral:rRNA from 1 species
GACGAACGCUGGCGGCGUGCUUAACACAUGCAAGUCGAACGGUGAAGCGCCUUCCUUUUUGGUGGGUGUGGAUGAGUGGCGAACGGGUGAGUAACACGUGAGUAACCUGCCCCCUUCUUCUGGAUAACCGCAUGAAAGUGUGGCUAAUACGGGAUAUUCUGGGUCUGUCGCAUGAUGGGUCUGGGAAAGAUAUUGUUUCGGUGGGGGAUGGGCUCGCGGCCUUUCAGCUUGUUGGUGGGGUGAUGGCCUACCAAGGCGGUGACGGGUAGCCGGCCUGAGAGGGUGGACGGUCACACGGGGACUGAGACACGGCCCAGACUCCUACGGGAGGCAGCAGUGGGGAAUAUUGCACAAUGGGCGCAAGCCUGAUGCAGCGACGCCGCGUGAGGGAUGGAGGCCUUCGGGUUGUGAACCUCUUUCGCCAGUGAAGCAGGCCUGCCUCGUUUGUGGGUGGGUUGACGGUAGCUGGAUAAGAAGCGCCGGCUAACUACGUG